rnacentral:rRNA from 1 species
UACGUAGGGUGCAAGCGUUGUCCGGAAUUAUUGGGCGUAAAGAGCUCGUAGGCGGUUUGUCGCGUCUGCUGUGAAAUUUCGGGGCUCAACCCCGAACUUGCAGUGGGUACGGGCAGACUAGAGUGUGGUAGGGGAGACUGGAAUUCCUGGUGUAGCGGUGAAAUGCGCAGAUAUCAGGAGGAACACCGAUGGCGAAGGCAGGUCUCUGGGCCACUACUGACGCUGAGAAGCGAAAGCAUGGGGAGCGAACAGG